UACGUAGGGGGCUAGCGUUGUCCGGAAUCAUUGGGCGUAAAGCGCGUGUAGGCGGCCCGGUAAGUCCGCUGUGAAAGUCGGGGGCUCAACCCUCGGAAGCCGGUGGAUACUGUCGGGCUCGAGUACGGAAGAGGCGAGUGGAAUUCCUGGUGUAGCGGUGAAAUGCGCAGAUAUCAGGAGGAACACCGAUUGCGAAGGCAGCUCGCUGGGACGUUACUGACGCUGAGACGCGAAAGCGUGGGGAGCAAACAGG
rnacentral:rRNA from 1 species